ensembl:lncRNA
CUGGAGAGAAAUCUGAACCAGGAAGCAGGAAAUUCUGGAUGUAUAACUUGCUUCCUGAGGUAUUCCUUGUGAUAAGACUCUAGGAGAUGAGAAGUGGGCGCUGCCAUGUGGCAAUCAACAUCCCUGUCUGGAUAAUUUACAUUUGAAAGCAUUUCUUUGGAGCUGUUUGCUUUUGGAAGGGAGUGCCCAGGACUUUUUACUGGACUGUUUACUGGCGGAAGAUCUGUCCUGUGACCAAAUUACUCCUGUUUGCUAUGGGACAUUAGGGGAUGAUACCAUGGUAGAAGCUGUCACUCCAAAAGGCUGACUCAACCACUUUGGACUUAUAUAAAUAAGUUUGUACUGCCAUCGCAAUCAUUGUCGUUGUUCUUGCCAUGGUCGCUGUCGUCACCAACGGAACAACACCCAAUGACCCACCUCUACUGAAGAUCGACAACUGAACCAUGAACCACGCUGGACCCAUGGUGGUGACUAUCUCCCUCUUGCUUCCUAUAGAGACUCCUUGCUCCUAUUUCCUAUCUUUUCUACUGCCCUUCUUCUCUUCCCCAUCAUCCUAAUUUGUACCUAUCAAGACUCCUUGCUUCUAUUUUCUAUCUUUUCUAUCGUUCCUCUUCCCUUCCGCAUUACCCCAAUCUGUAAUUGUGUCUGUCCUCCCCUUCUCCAUCUCCCUUAUUAAGAUUUGUA